rnacentral:lncRNA from 1 species
GGGGUGGUGGGGGUUCGUUUGGCUUGGCGUCGUCGUCGCGCGCGCUCCGGUGACGGCGGCGGGCCGGCAUGGCCGUGGAGGAAGUCCUCGGUUGGUCGCUGUGCAACUUGACGCCUCAUCAUCUCGGCUCGGCCAAAGGGAGAAUGAAGAUACAAUACAAUACAGGAAGAGCGGCCUCCGGUCGCCGUGGUGUGCGUGUGUGUGUGGGCUGGAUGCCCUGUUCUCAGCUAGCGCUCUCCUAUCCUAUCAGAUUCAGAGCAGGGUUUUGCUGAUGUUCUACGUUUUGUUACUCGCUAUCACCAGAAAUAAAAAAGUUCCUUGCAGUUUGUUCUAAUUCCUACCA